rnacentral:rRNA from 1 species
CCUACGGGCGGCUGCAGUGGGGAAUAUUGGACAAUGGGGGGAAUCCUGAUCCAGCCAUGCCGCGUGUGUGAAGAAGGCCCUCGGGUUGUAAAGCACUUUCAGUGAGGAAGAACGCCUGGUGGUUAAUACCCAUCAGGAAAGACAUCACUCACAGAAGAAGCACCGGCUAACUCCGUGCCAGCAGCCGCGGUAAUACGGAGGGUGCGAGCGUUAAUCGGAAUUACUGGGCGUAAAGCGCGCGUAGGUGGCUUGAUAAGCCGGUUGUGAAAGCCCCGGGCUCAACCUGGGAACGGCAUCCGGAACUGUCAAGCUAGAGUGCAGGAGAGGAAGGUAGAAUUCCCGGUGUAGCGGUGAAAUGCGUAGAGAUCGGGAGGAAUACCAGUGGCGAAGGCGGCCUUCUGGACUGACACUGACACUGAGGUGCGAAAGCGUGGGUAGCAAACAGGAUUAGAUACCCGUGUAGUC